AUUAGAGCACAAACCAUUGAUUAGGGACUGUCGUUACAACAACCAUAUGAUUGACCGUUGUACAGAAAUACAAUCUUCUUAUGUUCACGAAAGACGUCAAGUUGACUUGAUUGAGUACUUAUGGGCGCUGAGAGACAAUCACGGUCAAUGAAUUCAAGUUUAAUACUUAGUUUUGAAUAAUGUUUUGUUUGUGUUUUGUUUUGAAUUAUGCUUUCUUUGUGUUUUGUAAUGAAUUAUGCUUUGUUUUGAUGUAUGCAAUAUUUUAAAUAAAUGCCUA
rnacentral:lncRNA from 1 species